UCCUAUGAUGGCAUGAAAUCUUUGAGACCUGAUCUAUGUUUUCUAACAUUGAUUGAUGUUAAAUAUAAGCAAACGCUGAGGAU
rnacentral:snoRNA from 1 species